AACGCUAGCUACAGGCUUAACACAUGCAAGUCGAGGGGUAGCACGGAGGAAGCUUGCUUCCUUGGGUGACGACCGGCGCACGGAUGAGUAACGCGUAUCCGACCUACCCAUAACACGGGCACAGCCGCUCGAAAGAGUGAUUGAUUCCCGAUAUGUCAUAUAAGUAGAUUAUAUGAUGAAAGAUUUAUCGGUUAUGGAUGGGGAUGCGUAAGAUUAGGUAGUAGGCGGGGUAACGGCCCACCUAGCCGACGAUCUUUAGGGGUUCUGAGAGGAAGGUCCCCCACACUGGUACUGAGACACGGACCAGACUCCUACGGGAGGCAGCAGUGAGGAAUAUUGGUCAAUGGGCGGAAGCCUGAACCAGCCAAGUAGCGUGAAGGAUUACAGCCCUACGGGUUUUAAACUUCUUUUAUAUAAGAGUAAUGUGCACUACGUGUAGUGUAUUGCAAGUAUUAUAUGAAUAAGCAUCGGCUAACUCCGUGCCAGCAGCCGCGGUAAUACGGAGGAUGCGAGCGUUAUCCGGAUUUAUUGGGUUUAAAGGGAGCGUAGGCGGGAUAUUAAGUCAGUCGUCAAAGCCUGUGGCUCAACUACAGCCCGCGAUUGAUACUGGUAACCUUGAGUGCGGAUGAGGCGGAUGGAAUUCGUGGUGUAGCGGUGAAAUGCUUAGAUAUCACGAAGAACUCCGAUUG
rnacentral:rRNA from 1 species